rnacentral:rRNA from 1 species
AGUUUAAGAGAUUAAUUGAUUGACGAUAAUCACAGAAGAAGCACCGGCUAACUCCGUGCCAGCAGCCGCGGUAAUACGGAGGGUGCGAGCGUUAAUCGGAAUGACUGGGCGUAAAGGGCACGCAGGUGGUGACUUAAGUGAGGUGUGAAAUCCCCGGGCUUAACCUGGGAACAGCAUUUCAGACUGGGUGACUAGAGUACUUUAGGGAGGGGUAGAAUUCCACGUGUAGCGGUGAAAUGCGUAGAGAUGUGGAGGAAUACCGAAGGCGAAGGCAGCCCCUUGGGAAGAUACUGACGCUCGAGUGCGAAAGCGUGGGGAGCAAACAGGAUUAGAUACCCUGGUAGUCCACGCUGUAAACGAUGUCGAUUUGGGGAUUGGGUGAACACUUGGUGCCCGAA